AGCAGCCGCGGUAAUUCCAGCUCCAAUAGCGUAUAUUAAAGUUGUUGCAGUUAAAAAGCUCGUAGUUGAAUUUCAGGCCUGGCUGGACGGUCCGCCCUUCGGGUGAGUACUGUCUGUGGUCGGGUCCUACCUUCUGGCGAAGCGUCAUGGCCUUAACCGGCCGUGGCGGGGAACCAGGACUUUUACUGUGAAAAAAUUAGAGUGUUCAAAGCAGGCAAUCGCUUGGAUACAUUAGCAUGGAAUAAUGGAAUAGGACAAUGGUUCUAUUUGUUGGUGGUUCUAUUUGUUGGUUUCUAGGACCGUUGUAAUGAUUAAUAGGGAUAGUUGGGGGCAUUAGUAUUCAAUUGUCAGAGGUGAAAUUCUUGGAUUUAUUGAAGACUAACUACUGCGAAAGCAUUUGCCAAGGAUGUUUUCAUUAAUCAAGAACGAAAGUUAGGGGAUCGAAGACGAUCAGAUACCGUCGUAGUCUUAACCAUAAACUAUGCCGACUAGGAAUCGGGCGAUGUUGAAAAAAUGACGCGCUCGGCACCUCAUG
rnacentral:rRNA from 1 species